UGGGGAAUAUUGGACAAUGGGGGAAACCCUGAUCCAGCGACGCCGCGUGUGUGAAGAAGGCCUGCGGGUUGUAAAGCACUUUUAGUGGGGACAAAAAGCUACGGAUUAAUACUCUGUGGUCUUGAUUUAACCCAAAGAAAAAGCACCGGCUAACUCUGUGCCAGCAGCCGCGGUAAGACAGAGGGUGCAAACGUUGUACGGAAUUACUGGGCGUAAAGCGCGUGUAGGCUGCCUCAAAAGUCGGAUGUGAAAGCCCUGGGCUCAACCUAGGAAGUGCAUUCGAAACUGCGAGGCUUGAGUCCUGGAGAGGAAGGCGGAAUUCUCGGUGUAGAGGUGAAAUUCGUAGAUAUCGAGAGGAACACCGGUGGCGAAGGCGGCCUUCUGGACAGUGACUGACGCUGAGACGCGAAAGCGUGGGGAGCAAACAGGAUUAGAUACCCUGGUAGUCCACGCCGUAAACGAUGGGUGCUAGGUGUCGCGGGCUUUGACCCCUGCGGUGCCGUAGCUAACGCAUUAAGCACCCCGCCUGGGGAGUACGGCCGCAAGG
rnacentral:rRNA from 1 species